GACGAACGCUGGCGGCGUGCUUAACACAUGCAAGUCGAACGGUGAAGCGCCUUCCUUUUUGGUGGGUGUGGAUGAGUGGCGAACGGGUGAGUAACACGUGAGUAACCUGCCCCCUUCUUCUGGAUAACCGCAUGAAAGUGUGGCUAAUACGGGAUAUUCUGGGUCUGUCGCAUGAUGGGUCUGGGAAAGAUUUUGUUUCGGUGGGGGAUGGGCUCGCGGCCUAUCAGCUUGUUGGUGGGGUGAUGGCCUACCAAGGCGGUGACGGGUAGCCGGCCUGAGAGGGUGGACGGUCACACUGGGACUGAGACACGGCCCAGACUCCUACGGGAGGCAGCAGUGGGGAAUAUUGCACAAUGGGCGCAAGCCUGAUGCAGCGACGCCGCGUGAGGGAUGGAGGCCUUCGGGUUGUGAACCUCUUUCGCCAGUGAAGCAGGCCUGCCUCGUUUGUGGGUGGGUUGACGGUAGCUGGAGAAGAAGCGCCGGCUAACUACGUG
rnacentral:rRNA from 1 species